UACGUAGGGCGCAAGCGUUGUCCGGAAUUAUUGGGCGUAAAGAGCUCGUAGGCGGCCUGUUGCGUCCGCUGUGAAAUCCCGGGGCUUAACUCCGGGUCUGCAUUCGAUACGGGUCUGCUGGGGUCCGGCAGGGGAGACUGGAAUUCCUGGUGUAGCGGUGAAAUGCGCAGAUAUCAGGAGGAACACCGGUGGCGAAGGCGGGUCUCUGGGCCGGUACCGACGCUGAGGAGCGAAAGCGUGGGGAGCGAACAGG
rnacentral:rRNA from 1 species